AGAGUUUGAUCCUGGCUCAGAAUCAACGCUGGCGGCGUGCCUAACACAUGCAAGUCGCACGAGAAAGGGACUUCGGUCCUGAGUACAGUGGCGCACGGGUGAGUAACACGUGAAUAAUCUACCUCCGAGUGGGGAAUAACUGAGAGAAAUCUUAGCUAAUACCGCAUAACACUUACGAGUCAAAGCAGCAAUGCGCUUGGAGAGGAGUUCGCGGCAGAUUAGUUAGUUGGCGGGGUAAUGGCCCACCAAGACGAUGAUCUGUAUCCGGCCUGAGAGGGCGCACGGACACACUGGAACUGAAACACGGUCCAGACUCCUACGGGAGGCAGCAGUGGGGAAUUUUGCGCAAUGGGGGAAACCCUGACGCAGCAACGCCGCGUGGAGGAUGAAAUCCCUUGGGAUGUAAACUCCUUUCGAUAGGGAAG
rnacentral:rRNA from 1 species